rnacentral:antisense_RNA from 1 species
CACAAGGAAGGUUUCACCCCGUUGCCAAAAGACUAAGCGUCCCGUUGGCCAGUGCAACGAAGAACAGAGGAAGCGACUGUAGUGAACGGUGGUGCCCCAAAACUUAACAACCACCUAGACAUUCAGAAGGUGACCUUAUUUGGAAUAAGAGAUUUUGCAGAUAUAAUUGAGUUAAAGAUCUGAAGAUGAAAUCAUCAUGAAUUUAGGGUAGGCCAUAAAUCCAAUGACUGACAUUCUUACAAGAAGACAAGAGGACACAGGCACCCGGGGGAAGAGGCCGUAGGAGACCCAGGCAGAGAUUGGAGCGGUGCCCAUGCCAGGGAUCUCCAGGAGGAGCCAGAAGCUGGAAGAAGCCCUGCAGAUCCUCUCCCAGAGCGUUUGGAGGGGGCACAACUCUGUCCACACCUUGGUCUCCACCUUCUGGCCUCCAGAGCUGUAGGGGAACCCACUUUUGUGGUUUGAAGCCACCAAGUUCAUGGUGACUUAUGGCAGCCCUAGGAAAGUGACAUGCACAGGUAAACCACAUUCACUGCAGAAAACAUACAGAUCAGCAAAAAGAAAAAAAGCACACAGGGGCACCACCCCCAGAGACAGCCAUCGCUGACAUCCUAGCAGCUGUCACCUCGGAGUGAUGUUCCUAAAAUGCAAACUUCUGAACUGCUUAAAACUCUUCCAG